rnacentral:tRNA from 1 species
GUCAUGGUAGCUGAGUGGUUAAGCGGUUGGCUUCCGAACCUGGGGUCCUGGGUUCAAAUCUCAGUGAAGACU